GACGAACGCUGGCGGCGUGCUUAACACAUGCAAGUCGAACGGAAAGGCCCUGCUUGCAGGGUACUCGAGUGGCGAACGGGUGAGUAACACGUGGGUGAUCUGCCCUGCACUUCGGGAUAAGCCUGGGCAACUGGGUCUAAUACCGGACAGGAGCCAUUUUUAGUGUGAUGGUUGGAAAGUUUUUUCGGUGUAGGAUGAGCUCGAGGCCUAUCAGCUUGUUGGUGGGGUAAUGGCCUACCAAGGCGGCGACGGGUAGCCGGCCUGUGGGGGUGGACGGCCACAUUGGGACUGAGAUGCGGCCCAGACUCCUACGGGAGGCAGCAGUGGGGAAGAUUGCACAAGGGGCGCAAGCCUGAUGCAGCGACGCCGCGUGGGGGAUGACGGCCUUCGUGUUGUAAACUCCUUUCGCUAGGGACGAAGCUUUUUGUGACGGUACCUAGAUAAGAAGCACCGGCUAACUACGUG
rnacentral:rRNA from 1 species